rnacentral:lncRNA from 1 species
CAAGCUCCUGGCAACAAGGAAUGGAUACAACUCCACUACCAAAAACUUGAGAAAUGAUAUUGAGCGCACACUUUGGACUGAUUUUAACAACACAUUGAUUCCAUAACUUUUUGGGCUCAUUUUCCUCUACAGCUAAUGAAGGAAUACAUGUACUCGCCACAACUAGAAUAACAAAAGACACCAUAAUAACGUUAAGCUUGGCCAUGGUUUUUUUGCCUAUAGGGGGAGUUAAUGUUUAAUUAUU